rnacentral:rRNA from 1 species
UACGGGGGGAGCAAGCGUUGUUCGGAUUUACUGGGCGUAAAGGGCGCGUAGGCGGUCAGCACAAGUCAGUUGUGAAAUCUCCGGGCUUAACCCGGAAAGGUCAACUGAUACUGUGCGACUAGAGUGCGGAAGGGGCAACUGGAAUUCUCGGUGUAGCGGUGAAAUGCGUAGAUAUCGGAAGGAACACCAGUGGCGAAAGCGGCUUCCUGGUCCAGCAUCGACGUUCAGGCACGAAAGCGUGGGGAGCAAACAGG